rnacentral:rRNA from 1 species
GUUAAGCGACUAAGCGUACACGGUGGAUGCCCUGGCAGUCAGAGGCGAUGAAGGACGUGCUAAUCUGCGAUAAGCGUCGGUAAGGUGAUAUGAACCGUUAUAACCGGCGAUUUCCGAAUGGGGAAACCCAGUGUGUUUCGACACACUAUCAUUAACUGAAUCCAUAGGUUAAUGAGGCGAACCGGGGGAACUGAAACAUCUAAGUACCCCGAGGAAAAGAAAUCAACCGAGAUUCCCCCAGUAGCGGCGAGCGAACGGGGAGCAGCCCAGAGCCUGAAUCAGUGUGUGUGUUAGUGGAAGCGUCUGGAAAGGCGCGCGAUACAGGGUGACAGCCCCGUACACAAAAAUGCACAUGCUGUGAGCUCGAUGAGUAGGGCGGGACACGUGGUAUCCUGUCUGAAUAUGGGGGGACCAUC